CCUACGGGAGGCAGCAGUGGGGAAUAUUGGGCAAUGGGCGCAAGCCUGACCCAGCAACGCCGCGUGACGGAAGAAGGCUUUCGGGUUGUAAACUUCUUUUCUCAGGGACGCAGCAAGUGACGGUACCUGAGGAAUAAGCCACGGCUAACUACGUGCCAGCAGCCGCGGUAAUACGUAGGUGGCAAGCGUUAUCCGGAUUUACUGGGUGUAACGGGCGUGUAGGCGGGAAAGCAAGUCAGAUGGGAAAACCAUGGGCUCAACCUGUGGCCUGCAUUUGAAACUGGUUUUCGUGAGUACUGGAGAGGCAGACGGAAUGCCUGGUGUAGCGGUGAAAGGCGUAGAUAUUAGGAGGAACACC
rnacentral:rRNA from 1 species